rnacentral:rRNA from 1 species
CCUACGGGUGGCAGCAGUGGGGAAUAUUGCACAAUGGGGGAAACCCUGAUGCAGCGACGCCGCGUGAGUGAAGAAGUAUUUCGGUACGUAAAGCUCUAUCAGCAGGGAAGAAAAUGACGGUACCUGACUAAGAAGCCCCGGCUAACUACGUGCCAGCAGCCGCGGUAAUACGUAGGGGGCAAGCGUUAUCCGGAUUUACUGGGUGUAAAGGGAGCGUAGACGGCAGCGCAAGUCUGGAGGGAAAUCCCAUGGCUUAACCAUGGAACUGCUUUGGAAACUGUGCAGCUAGAGUGCAGGAGAGGUAAGCGGAAUGCCUAGUGUAGCGGUGAAAUGCGUAGAUAUUAGGAGGAACACCAGUGGCGAAGGCAGCUUACUGGACUGUAACUGACGUUGAGGCACGAAAGCGUGGGGAGCAAACAGGAUUAGAUACCCGAGUAGUC